GGUCAAGUGAAGAAGCGCAUACGGUGGAUGCCUUGGCAGUCAGAGGCGAUGAAAGACGUGGUAGCCUGCGAAAAGCUUCGGGGAGUCGGCAAACAGACUUUGAUCCGGAGAUGUCUGAAUGGGGGAACCCAGCCAUCAUAAGAUGGUUAUCUUACGCUGAAUACAUAGGCGUAAGAGGCGAACCAGGGGAACUGAAACAUCUAAGUACCCUGAGGAAAAGAAAUCAACCGAGAUUCCCUUAGUAGUGGCGAGCGAACGGGGACUAGCCCUUAAGUGGCUUUGAGAUUAGCGGAACGCUCUGGAAAGUGCGGCCAUAGUGGGUGAUAGCCCUGUACGCGAAAAUCUCUUAGUCAUGAAAUCGAGUAGGACGGAGCACGAGAAACUUUGUCUGAAUAUGGGGGGGGACCAUCCUCCAAGGCUAAAUACUACUGACUGACCGAUAGUGAACUAGUACCGUGAGGGAAAGGCGAAAAGAACCCCGGAGAGGGGAGUGAAAUAGAUCCUGAAACCGUAUGCGUACAAGCAGUGGGAGCCCACUUUGUUGGGUGACUGCGUACCUUUUGUAUAAUGGGUCAGCGACUUAUUUUCAGUGGCGAGCUUAACCGAAUAGGGGAGGCGUAGCGAAAGCGAGUCUUAAUAGGGCGUCUAGUCGCUGGGAAUAGACCCGAAACCGGGCGAUCUAUCCAUGGGCAGGUUGAAGGUUGGGUAACACUAACUGGAGGACCGAACCGACUACCGUUGAAAAGUUAGCGGAUGACCUGUGGAUCGGAGUGAAAGGCUAAUCAAGCUCGGAGAUAGCUGGUUCUCCUCGAAAGCUAUUUAGGUAGCGCCUCAUGUAUCACUGUAGGGGGUAGAGCACUGUUUCGGCUAGGGGGUCAUCCCGACUUACCAAACCGAUGCAAACUCCGAAUACCUACAAGUGCCGAGCAUGGGAGACACACGGCGGGUGCUAACGUCCGUCGUGAAAAGGGAAACAACCCAGACCGUCAGCUAAGGUCCCAAAGUUAUGGUUAAGUGGGAAACGAUGUGGGAAGGCUUAGACAGCUAGGAGGUUGGCUUAGAAGCAGCCACCCUUUAAAGAAAGCGUAAUAGCUCACUAGUCGAGUCGGCCUGCGCGGAAGAUGUAACGGGGCUCAAACCAUACACCGAAGCUACGGGUAUCAUCUUCGGAUGAUGCGGUAGAGGAGCGUUCUGUAAGCCUGUGAAGGUGAGUUGAGAAGCUUGCUGGAGGUAUCAGAAGUGCGAAUGCUGACAUGAGUAACGACAAUGGGUGUGAAAAACACCCACGCCGAAAGACCAAGGUUUCCUGCGCAACGUUAAUCGACGCAGGGUUAGUCGGUCCCUAAGGCGAGGCUGAAAAGCGUAGUCGAUGGAAAAACAGGUUAAUAUUCCUGUACUUCUGGUUAUUGCGAUGGAGGGACGGAGAAGGCUAGGCCAGCUUGGCGUUGGUUGUCCAAGUUUAAGGUGGUAGGCUGGAAUCUUAGGUAAAUCCGGGAUUCUAAGGCCGAGAGCUGAUGACGAGUUACCCUUUGGGUGACGAAGUGGUUGAUGCCAUGCUUCCAAGAAAAGCUUCUAAGCUUCAGGUAACCAGGAACCGUACCCCAAACCGACACAGGUGGUUGGGUAGAGAAUACCAAGGCGCUUGAGAGAACUCGGGUGAAGGAACUAGGCAAAAUGGCACCGUAACUUCGGGAGAAGGUGCGCCGGUGAGGGUGAAGGACUUGCUCCGUAAGCUCAUGCCGGUCGAAGAUACCAGGCCGCUGCGACUGUUUAUUAAAAACACAGCACUCUGCAAACACGAAAGUGGACGUAUAGGGUGUGACGCCUGCCCGGUGCCGGAAGGUUAAUUGAUGGGGUUAGCUAACGCGAAGCUCUUGAUCGAAGCCCCGGUAAACGGCGGCCGUAACUAUAACGGUCCUAAGGUAGCGAAAUUCCUUGUCGGGUAAGUUCCGACCUGCACGAAUGGCGUAACGAUGGCGGCGCUGUCUCCACCCGAGACUCAGUGAAAUUGAAAUCGCUGUGAAGAUGCAGUGUAUCCGCGGCUAGACGGAAAGACCCCGUGAACCUUUACUAUAGCUUUGCACUGGACUUUGAAUUUGCUUGUGUAGGAUAGGUGGGAGGCUUUGAAGCGUGGACGCCAGUUCGCGUGGAGCCAACCUUGAAAUACCACCCUGGCAACUUUGAGGUUCUAACUCAGGUCCGUUAUCCGGAUCGAGGACAGUGUAUGGUGGGUAGUUUGACUGGGGCGGUCUCCUCCUAAAGAGUAACGGAGGAGUACGAAGGUGCGCUCAGACCGGUCGGAAAUCGGUCGUAGAGUAUAAAGGCAAAAGCGCGCUUGACUGCGAGACAGACACGUCGAGCAGGUACGAAAGUAGGUCUUAGUGAUCCGGUGGUUCUGUAUGGAAGGGCCAUCGCUCAACGGAUAAAAGGUACUCCGGGGAUAACAGGCUGAUACCGCCCAAGAGUUCAUAUCGACGGCGGUGUUUGGCACCUCGAUGUCGGCUCAUCACAUCCUGGGGCUGAAGCCGGUCCCAAGGGUAUGGCUGUUCGCCAUUUAAAGUGGUACGCGAGCUGGGUUUAGAACGUCGUGAGACAGUUCGGUCCCUAUCUGCCGUGGACGUUUGAGAUUUGAGAGGGGCUGCUCCUAGUACGAGAGGACCGGAGUGGACGAACCUCUGGUGUUCCGGUUGUCACGCCAGUGGCAUUGCCGGGUAGCUAUGUUCGGAAUAGAUAACCGCUGAAAGCAUCUAAGCGGGAAACUAGCCUCAAGAUGAGAUCUCACUGGAACCUUGAGUUCCCUGAAGGGCCGUCGAAGACUACGACGUUGAUAGGUUGGGUGUGUAAGCGCUGUGAGGCGUUGAGCUAACCAAUACUAAUUGCCCGUGAGGCUUGACCAU
rnacentral:rRNA from 1 species